CGCGCUUUGUAAGAUGAGAGCACAUAGUGUGCAUGGUACAGUGUAUGAUAUUAACUUCCUAGGGCUUUAAACUUGCCAGUGUCUUCAUUAAGAACUGCUAAAAAUAUGAAAAUAUGGAAGGUACUAUGAUAAAGUGUGACACAGUGGAGUACAGCCUUUCUGUUUGAAGUGUUUGGGGAGAGGGGAGUUCAGCCUUUCCUGGACCAUCGUUCUUUUGUCUCUGGCUGACUUUACCUGUAAGAGUACAUAGAUCAAUUUCUUCUCCCAAGAGGAACUUGAAUCUGCCAGCUCGCCUGUGCAAUCAGGAGACAAAGCAGCACUAUAAGAAGCAGGUGAAUGUAAGUGGACACAGAAGUAUGUGAGAAUGUGGAGGGCACAAGGGAAGCUGAUGCUGCUGGAGGGGUGAGGAGAGAGACUACUGGCACAAAGUGACUGCCUGAAAAACUCAUUGUCUAUUUACCAAGUACUGUAAACAGUGGUCUUGCACUUUAAUUUACUGGUUUUGUGAGUAAGGAGAGCUGAGAAUUACUUGCCCCUGUUACUUCAGUCCACUUGAAACUUGAGGGUAUUUUUCUCAGAGCGUGCUACUCUUCUGGAUCCUUUCUGGGAGGGGAAAUUAGGAAAGUGCAAUUGCAGUGGAUGGGGCUUAGGAUCGUGUUCUCAGGAAUGGGCUCUCUUGAAUAGUGGAGCUGUUGCCCUUUUUCCCACCUGGGAUAACUCAUUGCUUAUUUCAUGUAGACUUUGAACUAAAAUGAAAGAUAGUGAAUGAAAUGUUUUCCUUGUAACACUAGGACAAAACAAAGGAGCUGCUUCUCUCAUAUUACACUAUUAAGGAACACCUCUUUGAUUUGAAAGCUGAAACUUGGGAGAGUAUGCAGCUGCUAUGUUAAUAUUAAAGCUUAGAAUGUGUAUUUUGAAAGACAUGUAAAGAUGAGUGAAGAUAAGAGAGUAUUAGGGGAUAUUAAACACAAUUUAUGAAUUUCUGCUCGCCUAUUGGAAUGCAAUAAGAUCUGUGCAUGAAACAACACCCGCUACAUCUCCACCCACGAGCUAUGAAUGAAAAAAUUACUCCUUGCCCAUAAGCAGAUUGAUGCAGGGAGCAUUUAAUAAAAAGAAAAUAUGCUAAUUUUAGCAUAUGGAUAUAUGCUAAACAAAUUAAAUGCUAUUUUACUUUUCCCACCACAAGUCUUAAAUAUAUCAGACUGGUGCCUGGUUCUCCUAACUAGAGGUGAAUAUAUAAGAAACCCAUUCUGCUUCACUGGUUUGAUAUCUGCCAGGGACACAGUGCCCUAGGUGAAGCAUAAUCAGAUAGAAAGGGCAUUGAACCAAGGAAGGUGCAGGGUGGGGAAGGACAUUACAUGUGUCAGCAAGAAAGAGGCACUCUGGGAAAUGUAGUCCUAUAGAACAAGAGUGGCUAGAGUUCAUUGUGCUGCUGAAUCACCCAAUUUUACUGCUGCAAAAAGCAGGAGCUUUUGGGAGCACUUGACAUGGGCACUUGCCAAACGUGAGGUGGCAGCAUGCAGGAGCAGCAGCUGGAUUCUGCUGCUGCUGAGGGGACAUGUCACCUAAUUUUUCUGAGAAGCACUUGGAGCCACAGGAAAUGAAGGGAUAGAGAAGAGGACUGGGGGGAGAAGAGGACUGUCUCAGGUACAGUUCUGGUCACCUACACCUCUGAUGAUACUUGUCUUAUUUGUUGAUAUGGUGAAGUCUCAGGGUGGGGGAAGGGGUGGGGGGACUGUCUGUCAUCCCAAUGACAACUAGCACAGUAAGUCUUCAAUGGACCUUUUAGGCAGCAUGUAGCAUAGAUCAUAAAUAAAGCAUUGGAUUGAGACUUAGAAAAUUCAGAUCAUAGUCCCUGGCUCUGCUCUAGGCUUACUGCAUGACUUCAGGCAGUCAGGCAGGGCCAGGCUCUCUGUUGUUAUUCUAAUGCAGAAACUACAUGAUAACUAUACACAGAGGAAAGAAAAUGCAGACUCCCAGAGGCAUGUGACUAUCUAAAAUGAUCCUUUAAAUGUAAUGAGAGUGGCAUGAUUUGUAAGAUGGCCUUGCAUGCAGUGACUGAGCAGAUAUUGUAUCAUUUGUCACAGGUACAUAAAUCCAUUCAGCAGAAAUGUGGCAUCCUUAGCAGUGAAGUACUGACAGCUUCUAUUUCUCAAGGAGCAACUUUAUUAUUUUUUUGUCAAUGGAAAGUUUUUACAGUUGCUUAUUGGAAUUUUCCCAGUGCCUAAACUCCAUGUGCAUCUUGGUAAAACCUCUGGAUUUCUUCAGAGUAAAGCUUCAUUGGGUGUAUCUAAAUGAGAUGCUGACUGGAGAGUAGCCUGAUACUACUGUGCAAUAGCAUCACGUGGCAAAAACCAUGACGCGAUGCUACUGUGCAGUAGGAUUAGGUUAAUGCACAGUAGCAUCAUACAAAUGGCAUUUGCUGGCAGUACUGCACAGUAACUCAGGUUGCCAUGCAUUUAUUUAGUACUUGUUUAUACAAGUACUAAAUAAAUGCACAGUAACCACUGCACAGUAGCAUGUUGUGUAGUUGCGGCCAUUGCUGAAUAGAUGCAAAGGUCUUUUGUUGUCUGGCCCUCACAACAAGAGUAAAUUUCAUCCUUUAUGACUCUUGGCACACUGUGUAUAUUUUGUGAACACAGGGAGCAUCUACAUUUGCACCUGACUGCCCAGUUUUUACUGUGCAGUUAUUAGUACUUACCUUAGCAAGUACUAACUGGUUGCGCAGUCAUUGCCAUUACUGAGCAGUCUCGGUGGCACAUGGCUCAUUUCUGAGCAUUAGCACUACUGAGCAUUAGCAUCGGUGUCACAGUUCAUGCCCCCCCC